UACGGAGGGAGCUAGCGUUGUUCGGAAUUACUGGGCGUAAAGCGCGCGUAGGCGGUCUGUCGCGUCUGCUGUGAAAACUCAGGGCUUAACCCUGAGCUUGCAGUGGGUACGGGCAGACUAGAGUGCGGUAGGGGAGACUGGAAUUCCUGGUGUAGCGGUGAAAUGCGCAGAUAUCGAGGAGGAACACCGGUGGCGAAGGCGGCUCUCUGGGACGGGUACUGACGCUGAAGACGCGGAAAGCGUGGGGAGCGAACAGG
rnacentral:rRNA from 1 species